rnacentral:misc_RNA from 1 species
GACAACUCUUGGGGAAAAACAAUUGCAGAAUUCAUGCUAGAUGAAAGUUACAGGAAGUUCAAAGUGAAGAAAAAAUUUUGCCUAUAUAGAAUUUCUUGUGAUUGGAUUACUUUCUUUGUAUUUUUUGCUCUUUCUUAUUCAGUCACAUUGCCCCUGAUUUCAUGGCUGUUUUGCAAGGUUUUUACUCAUACCCGAAUUAUUGCUACCUUGAUUCAGG